rnacentral:lncRNA from 1 species
UGUUGGUGUUGUGUACUCAGGUGAAUAUGAUGUUUGCGAUGUUACUCUGAAGCCCCGUUACACUACGCUAGAUUUAUGGUACCGUACCACUUUUUUGGUUCUUGGACUACCUAAAUAGAUAGUACAGCCCCGUUUACACUCCGCUCAAUUUUUGGUACGGCGCGGAUAAAAUUGGUACCCGUACCACUUCUUUGGUUCUUGGACUACCUAUUUAGGUAGUCCAAGAACCAAAAAGUGGUACGGUACCAAAAAUUGAGCGUAGUGUAAACGGGGCUUAGUAAAUAGGUAGUCCAAGAACCAAAAAAGUGGUACGGGUACCAAUUUUAUCCGUGCCGUACCAAAAAUUGAGCGUAGUGUAAACGGGGCUUAGUAAAUAGGUAGUCCAAGAACCAAAAAAGUGGUACGGGUACCAAUUUUAUCCGUGCCGUACCAAAAAUUGAGCGUAGUGUAAACGGGGCUUGAGUGAGUGUUUAUCCACACGGGGCAAGCUUGAAAAAUAUGCCUGGCCGCGGGGGGAAUCGAACCUACGACCUUGGCAGAGCAUUGGGCUAGUAUUCCAAAGGUCGUAGGUUCGAUUCCCACUGUGGCCAGGCAUAUUUUUCAAGCUUGCCCGGUGUGGAUAUACACUCAG